UACGUAGGUGGCAAGCGUUGUCCGGAUUUACUGGGCGUAAAGAGCGCGCAGGCGGUCGUUCAAGUCGCGUGUGAAAGCCCCCCGGCUCAACUGGGGAGGGUCACGCGAUACUGAUCGACUCGAAGGCAGGAGAGGGAAGUGGAAUUCCCGGUGUAGAGGUGAAAUUCGUAGAUAUCGGGAGGAACACCAGUGGCGAAGGCGGCGAUCUGGGCUGAUACUGACGCUGAGGUGCGAAAGCGUGGGGAGCAAACAGG
rnacentral:rRNA from 1 species